rnacentral:tRNA from 1 species
AUCUAUAUAAUAUAAAAAUUAUAUUUGAUUUCCAAUCAAAAAAUCUAACCUUUAGUAUAGAUA